rnacentral:rRNA from 1 species
GACGAACGCUGGCGGCGUGCCUAAUACAUGCAAGUAGAACGCUGAAGCUUGGUGCUUGCACCGAGCGGAUGAGUUGCGAACGGGUGAGUAACGCGUAGGUAACCUGCCUGGUAGCGGGGGAUAACUAUUGGAAACGAUAGCUAAUACCGCAUAAGAGUAGAUGUUGCAUGACAUUUGCUUAAAAGGUGCAAUUGCAUCACUACCAGAUGGACCUGCGUUGUAUUAGCUAGUUGGUGGGGUAACGGCUCACCAAGGCGACGAUACAUAGCCGACCUGAGAGGGUGAUCGGCCACACUGGGACUGAGACACGGCCCAGACUCCUACGGGAGGCAGCAGUAGGGAAUCUUCGGCAAUGGACGGAAGUCUGACCGAGCAACGCCGCGUGAGUGAAGAAGGUUUUCGGAUCGUAAAGCUCUGUUGUAAGAGAAGAACGAGUGUGAGAGUGGAAAGUUCACACUGUGACGGUAUCUUACCAGAAAGGGACGGCUAACUACGUGCCAGCAGCCGCGGUAAUACGUAGGUCCCGAGCGUUGUCCGGAUUUAUUGGGCGUAAAGCGAGCGCAGGCGGUUAGAUAAGUCUGAAGUUAAAGGCUGUGGCUUAACCAUAGUACGCUUUGGAAACUGUUUAACUUGAGUGCAAGAGAGGAGAGUGGAAUUCCAUGUGUAGCGGUGAAAUGCGUAGAUAUAUGGAGGAACACCGGUGGCGAAAGCGGCUCUCUGGCUUGUAACUGACGCUGAGGCUCGAAAGCGUGGGGAGCAAACAGG